rnacentral:rRNA from 1 species
UGGGGAAUAUUGCGCAAUGGGCGAAAGCCUGACGCAGCGACGCCGCGUGAGGGAUGAAGGUUUUCGGAUCGUAAACCUCUGUCAGAAGGGAAGAAACCGCACUGUGCUAAUCAGCAGUGCCUUGACGGUACCUUCCAAGGAAGCACCGGCUAACUCCGUGCCAGCAGCCGCGGCAAUACGGAGGGUGCAAGCGUUAAUCGGAAUUACUGGGCGUAAAGCGCACGUAGGCUGCUUUGUAAGUCAGGGGUGAAAUCCCACGGCUCAACCGUGGAACUGCCUUUGAUACUGCUUAGCUUGAAUCCGGGAGAGGGUGGCGGAAUUCCAGGUGUAGAAGUGAAAUCCGUAGAUAUCUGGAGGAAAAUCAGUGGCGAAGGCGGCCACCUGGACCGGUAUUGACGCUGAGGUGCGAAAGCGUGGGGAGCAAACAGG